rnacentral:sRNA from 1 species
CAUGCCCCUUAUACGCUGGGCUACACACGUGCUACAAUGGGCAGUACAGAGAGUCGCAAAGCCGUGAGGUGGAGCUAAUCUCAGAAAACUAUUCUUAGUUCGGAUUGUACUCUGCAACUCGAGUACAUGAAGUUGGAAUCGCUAGUAAUCGCGAAUCAGCAAUGUCGCGGUGAAUACGUUCUCGGGUCUUGUACACACCGCCCGUCACACCACGAGAGUUGGUUGCACCUGAAGUAGCAGGCCUAACCGUAAGGAGGGAUGCUCCGAGGGUGUGAUUAGCGAUUGGGGUGAAGUCGUAACAAGGUAUCCGUACGGGAACGUGCGGAUGGAUCACCUCCUUUCUAAGGAGAAUGUGUCUUUCUCUAUUCUAUUGGUAAUGUUCUUACAUUACUUCUGAACAUUGGAAACUAUAUAGUAGAACAAACAAGAAAAAAAUUAACUCUAACAAUUUCUUAGAGUUAGCUGUCAAAAAAUAGGUUAAAAUAAUUAAGGGCACACAAAGGAUGCCUAGGUAGUAAGAGCCGAUGAAGGCACGUGGUAAGCUGCGAUAAGCCUAG